UCUUGGUCAUUUAGAGGAAGUAAAAGUCGUAACAAGGUUUCCGUAGGUGAACCUGCGGAAGGAUCAUUAAAGAAAUUUAAUAAUUUUGAAAAUGGAUUUUUUUGUUUUGGCAAGAGCAUGAGAGCUUUUACUGGGCAAGAAGACAAGAGAUGGAGAGUCCAGCCGGGCCUGCGCUUAAGUGCGCGGUCUUGCUAGGCUUGCAAGUUUCUUUCUAGCUAUUCCAAACGGUGAGAGAUUUCUGUGCUUUUGUUAUAGGACAAUUAAAACCGUUUCAAUACAACACACUGUGGAGUUUUCAUAUCUUUGCAACUUUUUCUUUGGGCAUUCGAGCAAUCGGGGCCCAGAGGUAACAAACACAAACAAUUUUAUCUAUUCAUUAAAUUUUUGUCAAAAACAAGAAUUUUCGUAACUGGAAAUUUUAAAAUAUUAAAAACUUUCAACAACGGAUCUCUUGGUUCUCGCAUCGAUGAAGAACGCAGCGAAAUGCGAUACGUAAUGUGAAUUGCAGAAUUCCGUGAAUCAUCGAAUCUUUGAACGCACAUUGCGCCCCUUGGUAUUCCAGGGGGCAUGCCUGUUUGAGCGUCAUUUCCUUCUCAAACAUUCUGUUUGGUAGUGAGUGAUACUCUUUGGAGUUAACUUGAAAUUGCUGGCCUUUUCAUUGGAUGUUUUUUUUCCAAAGAGAGGUUUCUCUGCGUGCUUGAGGUAUAAUGCAAGUACGGUCGUUUUAGGUUUUACCAACUGCGGCUAAUCUUUUUUUAUACUGAGCGUAUUGGAACGUUAUCGAUAAGAAGAGAGCGUCUAGGCGAACAAUGUUCUUAAAGUUUGACCUCAAAUCAGGUAGGAGUACCCGCUGAACUUAAGCAUAUCAAUAAGCGGAG
rnacentral:rRNA from 1 species